CCCUUAGAUGUCCGGGGCUGCACGCGCGCUACACUGAAUGAAUCAGCGUGCUAGAAAACCUUGUUUGACAUGGCUAGGUAACCCAUUGAAAAUCAUUCGUGAUUGGGAUCGGGACUUGCAAAUGUGUCCCUUGAACGAGGAAUUCCCAGUAAGUGCGGGUCAUCAGCUCGCGUUGAUUACGUCCCUGCCCUUUGUACACACCGCCCGUCGCUCCUACCGAUCGAAGAGUUAGGUGAAUUGUUUUGAUCGAUAAGAUUUGACUAUGGUCAACUCUCGUUGUGAAAUUCUGUGAAUCUGACUGUUUAGAGGAAGGAAAAGUCGUAACA
rnacentral:rRNA from 1 species